AUUGAACGCUGGCGGCAUGCCUUACACAUGCAAGUCGAACAGUAACGGGCCUUCGGGUGCCGACGAGUGGCGAACGGGUGAGUAAUGUAUCGGAACGUACCUUUCAGUGGGGGAUAACGUAGCGAAAGUUACGCUAAUACCGCAUAUUCUGUGAGCAGGAAAGCAGGGGAUCGUAAGACCUUGCGCUGAUUGAGCGGCCGAUAUCAGAUUAGCUAGUUGGUGAGGUAAAGGCUCACCAAGGCGACGAUCUGUAGCGGGUCUGAGAGGAGGAUCCGCCACACUGGAACUGAGACACGGUCCAGACUCCUACGGGAGGCAGCAGUGGGGAAUUUUGGACAAUGGGGGCAACCCUGAUCCAGCCAUGCCGCGUGAGUGAAGAAGGCCUUCGGGUCGUAAAGCUCUUUCGGCCGGGAAGAAAUCGUAUCAGCUAAUACCUGGUGCGGAUGACGGUACCGGCAUAAGAAGCACCGGCUAACUACGUGCCAGCCGCCGCAGUAAAAC
rnacentral:rRNA from 1 species